rnacentral:lncRNA from 1 species
GUGCUUCUUUGUUUCUUGUCUACAAAACAAACAUAAACGAGUUCAAUGCGUGAUUUAUCACUAUGUUCCUCAACCAACUAACCAAACCUUCAAUUCUUUACCCUAGUAGUUAAUGUAAGUGUAACAAAUAUAUCUAGAGAGAGAGAGAGAAACAAAUAUAUAUUUACACUCACGUACGUACACAAAAACCAUAUAUUUCAAGUGAAUUUGUGGUUAAAUUUGAUUGGUUGUUAUUUAUUUAUCUAAACAAAAUAAGUAUACAUAUAUAUAGAUCGAGGUUUUUUUUUUUCUUGAUAUGGAUUUUCGUUCAGGGUUUGGAAUAGUAGUAGUAUGGCUGGUUUAUUUUCAUUAGGAAGAACUGAAGAAGAAAACCAACAGAAUAAUAAUCCAACAACAGAAUUCUGGUAUAAUAAGAAUGAUGAUUCUGUUGUUUCUAAUAAUUCAUACCGUGGUUUUGAGAUUUGGAACCAACAUCAACAACAACAGUUGUUUUCUUUACAACAACCUCAACAACAAGAUCUUUACUCCUCUGGUGUUGUGUUAGGAGUGGGACCUACUAAUAGGGUUUGUUCUUCUGAUGAGAAUAGAUCUACUGUGUUUAUAGGAAGUGGAAGUGGAAGUAUAAGUUGUCAAGAUUGUGGGAAUCAAGCUAAGAAAGAUUGUCCUCAUAUGAGAUGUAGAACUUGUUGUAAGAGUAGAGGUUUUGAUUGUCAAACUCAUGUUAAGAGUACUUGGGUUCCUGCUGCUAGAAGAAGAGAAAGACAACAACAACAACAACAACAACAACUUUCUGCUCCUAAAUCAUUUCAACAACAUGGAGAUAUUGUUCCUCAAAAUAGACACAGAGAUCUUAACAAUAACAAUUCCUCUUUAGCUUGCACUCGUUUACCUACAAACCGUUCACUCACUCUCCCUUCAGCAGGUAUAUUAUAUCGUAUGUUCAUUUUGUUCCUAUUAUUGUUGUCUUUUAUUGUGUUGUCACUUUUGAUCUAUGACUAUAUACAUAUUUUCAUAUAUUACUGAAACUUCUGAAAAAGAUAAGUGAAGGUACCGAGAAAGUUUUGGAAGAGAAUAUAGAUUGCGUGUGUAAAACAAAAUUUCUGUUAGACUUUUUCUUUUCCAAAACAGUGUUGUUCUGACGAAUGAAUGGGAUCAGUGACAGGGAAGAAGCUGUUACUGUUAGUUUCUGUAGUACUACUGUUCUCUUUCUUUUCCAACAACAACACUCACUCUUCCACAAACCAACAACACUUUCACAGCUUUCACCUUUUCUUUGUUCAUAUAUGUCACAUCUUAUCAUGUCUGAGUAUGAUGCUUUCUCACAGAUACAUGAAUUAUUCAAUAAAUUUAUGUUUGUUUUUGUUAAAUAUCCAUCAUGGUAUGUAUAUACAUGUUUACCUAACUAAUAGUUUGUUUGCUUCUGUUCAAAAUAUGUUAAUUAACAUAAAAAAAAAAAGGGUUAUUGGAUGAGAUGAAUUUUCCAGCUGUGGUGAAUUCUCCAGCAGAGUUCAGGUGCGUGAGAGUUAGCUCAGUUGAUGAGAACGAAGAAGAGUAUGCAUAUUCAACGGCUGUAAACAUUGGAGGGCAUGUUUUUAGAGGAAUUUUGUAUGAUUAUGGUCCAGAUCAUGGGAGUAAUAGUUACAAUAUGGCUGCCGGAAACGCCUCUAAUUCUAGUGGUACAGCCCUUGAAGGGGUGGUUGAGCCCUUAAACCUUAUCUCAGGUGUCCCUGCUAGUGGUGUUGGGGAAAUUGUUGAUCCUUCUUCUUUGUAUCCAGCUCCACUUAAUACCUUCAUGCCUUCUAGUGGUACGCAAUUCUUCCCCCACCCAAGAUCUUGAACAAAUUUUUCAUCAUUCAGAGCCUAAAGAAUUUAGGAUAAAACAAAAACAUAUUUUAAUUUUUUGUAUUUUAUCAUUUAAUUUACUGUAUUCCUUUAUUAUUAUUAUUAUUAUUAUUUUACAGCUUUUUCUAAUCAUUUCACAGUCUUGUAGACUGUAGUGGACUAGUGCAGGUAACUUAAUUUGAUGAUGUUAUGAGAAAAACUCAAAUCCAUAUUAAAAGAAAUAAGAUUUGAAUCGAGUUUAUAAAGUAAGAUGUGUCGAAUUAUAUAGGACAUUUUAUAAGAAUUUAGGGUUAAGAUGUUCUCCCUUUCUUUAAAGAAAUCAAGAAUUUUAUUUGUUUGGGAGAUAAACACAAAUAAAAGAUAGAUUUACAUUUUUGGCAUUGAUUUCAACUAUUGAGAAAAUAUAGAAAAUUAUCACAUUUAGGGCAAAAAACCACUACUAUUUGGAGACAAUUUUCAUAUAUAUUAAUAAAUUAUAAUAGGGUUUUUCUAUCAUGUGCAAAUUUGCACAUGAUAAGAAGUUUAAAGUAGUAACUUUGACUUGGAACUUGUGCAUUUUAUAUUAAUUAUGUAGAUUUUUAAUAAUUAAUUGUUGGUUUCAAUAAAAAGUUACUAUUUUUAGUUGCCUUAACAUGUGCAAUAUUGCACAUGUUAGACAAUCCCAUUAUAAUAUAAUUAAGGGUCAUGCUAAGAUGUGUCGUAUAAUUAAUAUACAUAUAAUAUAAAUUUUUCAUCUUUCAAUAUAAAUUAGUAAUAUUGCUUAGGAAUAUAUUUGGAGAAAAGUAAAAACAUAUAUAGUAAUUUGAAAGAGUGUUUAUAUUUACGAACACCUUAUUCUCGAAUGGCGUUUAUAUAAAUGUAUUAUGUGUAUGACUAACAUGAUGUGUGUUACUCUUUAUAAUUUAAAGGACCAAAUAAAAAGAAUGCUUUUUCUUUUAUUUGAUCCUUUAAAUUACAAAGUUUAGACUAUUUUGUCCUCAAGAUUUUAUUUUAUUUUAUGUUGAUCACUUAACUUAUAAAUAUUAAAUACUUUGAUCAUAUUUAAGUUAUAAACUUAAGACACUUUAGUUAUUUAUAUUAGAUAAUAAAAUAUCUUAAUAUUUGUAAUUAAAGGAUGAAAGGAUUCAUCAUUCCUAACUUAAGGGAUCAAAAUAAAAUGAAAUUUUUCUAAGAGACCAAAUUAUAUAAUUUUGUAACUUAAAAGGUCUAAUAUGAAAGGAGACAAACUUAAAAAAAGCAGAGCCAAGUCUAAAAAUAACUUAACCAACAAAAAGUGUAAUUAAUUUUGCCCAUUAUCAAUUCCAUCUCUUUAAUUUUUUUAUGAUAAGGAUGACUAGCUAGCUAGCUAUCGCUUUUUAAUUGGUUUCUUUAUUUUUCUUUACGGUAUAUAGUGGACAUGAUCUGGCUCUAUAUUGUUGUGUACUAAAUCUUUUUUGUAUUUUAUAUUAUUUUUGGGUUGAUAUUUUCUUUCAUGUUGAAUUUCUAUCACAUUUUCUUGUUGGUUUUCAACUUCGAAUCUGCUUUUUCCCCCGUUUAUCCGUGUGAUUGCCGGUUUGAAAUUUAAAUAAAAUAAAAACAUAGUUUUGAUCAUUAUAAAUUUAUAAUUGUACAUAUUUUCAAUUUAAUUUUCACAUGUAGCGUAAUGGGAAAGUCCAACCACGCAUGAGUAUUAUUAAAGUUUAUAAGGUGAAAUAUCUCCUUCUGACCUUGCACAGUUUUGACGUUGAUUACGGGAAUGUUGCUUAUCAAUGUGUUGAUAUAUUUUUGUGUCAAAAAAAAAAAGUGUUGAUAUAUUUAAUGCACAUGCAACAAAACUAUAUACGUAUUUAGGGGAACACUCGAAUUUUUUCAUCCAUGGAGUACAACAUGUAUUUGGGAUAAUUGAAAACAGUUUGAUCAAUGGAAGACUAUAACAAGUAAAACAAAACGAAUGGCUAUAAGAUGUGUCAGCAUUUUCCGUAACCUAUUGAUGCAACAUGUUCCCCAACUCAAACUACAUUUCUUUAUUUAUUUAUUUUUUUGGUCAAGACUCAAACUACAUUUCUAUACCUUCAUAAUCUUUUGCUACAUAAUCUUUAGAUAUAUAUCACGGUUCAUGACUAAUUAAACUUUAGGUUAAAUAUGUUUUUGGUCUCUAUAAAUAUGUCAAUUUUUCGUUUUAGUCCCUCUAAAAUUUUACUUCAACAUUUAGUCCCUAUAAAAUUUUCAAUCACUACUUUUGGUCCCUAUUUUUUAAUGAAAUUAUGCAGAAAUAUGUAAAAUAUUCUAAAAAAAAAUUCCUUUAAAAAAUUAGAAUUUUUUUAACAAAACACAAAUUAAAUAUGAAUUUUUAACCGUAAAAGAUAUAAUAAUUCAUAUUAAAUUCAUGUUUUGUUCAAAAAUUCUGAAUUUUUUUUGGAGUGAUUAUUAUAAUAUUUUAAAUUUUUCUGGAAAAUUUUAUUAAAUAAUAUGAAUUCUACAUAUGAGUUUACUUUAAAAGAGGGACCAAAAGUGAAGAUUGAAAAUUUUAUAGGGACUAAAAAUGGAAGGAAAAUUUUAGAGGGAUUAAAACGAAAAGUUGAUAUAUUUAUAGGGGCCAAAAACAUAUUUAACCCUUAAACUUUUUAUAUAAUAUUGUGACUAUCAUUUUAUUUUAUUUUAUUAAAUCGCAUGGUUGAUAUUUGAAGAGAGAGAGAGAUGUAACCCUUAAACGGGAAUUAGAAAUGUACGAAUUUUUUUUUCCAGAUUGCUGGACUAAUCUCUUCAAAGUGUAUGGAUUUUUUCUUAUUGUAACAGAUUGAGUGCCUCUUAUAUUCAUUUAAAUAAACAUGAUUUUAAAAAGAAAAAAAAAGACUAAAAAAAAAUCUUGUCUAAUCACUACUAAAAAAAGUUAAAUUAGAGAAAAAAUUACAAAGAAAAAAACAUGAAAAAAUGAUUAUUUUUUCAAUUGCACCAUCUAAUUAUAAUUAAUAUAGUGUUCAUUGUUCUGAAAGCAUACACUCCUACUCCAGUUUCCAAAUUGAGAAACACAACGAUUAUUAGGAAAAAUUACUAUUCUUUUUCUUCUAUUCAUCACAUUUCUUAGUAAACGACAUUUAUUUUAAAAUAAAAAGAACAAAAUUGAAACUAAACAAAGUUGAAUGUAUUUAAUAUGAACCUUUCAAAAAUAAUUUAAAAAUCGAAACUAAAAAUGAACAUUUACUUACCUACUCACCCUUUUUUUUUUUUUUGGAGGUUUAUGACUUUUGGCUUUUUUAUGUGAAAUAAUAUUGUACAACUAUUGAAAUAACAUUUUCUCUCAUAACCAUAUUGUGUUCAUACUUUCUUUUUAUUGUUUUGGUUUUUGUGUCAAUAUUUAUCUUUCUUUAUUUAUUUAGUUGUUCGAGAAGUUGUCUCGAAAAAUGAUUGAUCAAAUAACAUAGAAUAUCUCUUUUGUUAUAAGCAAAGAUGAUCAUAUCAUGACUUCUGACUGAUAAUAGAUGUAGCUACAUUUCCAGAAAGCCACAUACUUAUGAGUUAGGAAGAAAAUGAAUGAAAAAUUGAAUAAAUUGGGACUGGAAAUCUGGAUUGCAUCAAAUUCCGUCCUUCUUGAUUCCUUUGAUUCACCUCUGUUUUUUUGGGAGCUUCACUACUAGGAUUUGAUUAGUUAAGAUUUAAGAUUAAGAAUAUGUCUUAUGUUGGGUGGAUUAAUUUGACACUUACUAUUUAUGGACGGUGAGUUUAACAUUCUCCUUAAUAUGUUGGGUGUUCUUUGAUAUAGUGAUGUUGAUUCCAUUUUGUUACUUAUGUUUUUUUUUUUGACACAAUGCUUUUAUUUUUAUUUUUUUUAUACUAUGAUCUUUACUUACUUAUGCUUGUACAUGUCCCCUGUAAAGUACUAGCAUAGAAUUCAUCAAGAAACUACUAGUAACCAAAUCUGAAUGCUAUUAGUUUUUGUGUGAAAAUGAGUUUGAAAAUGUCUUAGCAAAUUGUAAUCAACGAUGUUAAGAGAAAUUUUAAUAAAAUAUUUAAAAAGAUUAAUCUUUUUUAUCAUUAUAUACAAUUUUUUAUUAUAAUUGAUAAGAGUUCACGUUUAGAUUUUUUUGCGAGGUCCAUAUAUAAGACAAACCACACACAAAAGGGCAUGUUUUCUCUAUAAAAAAAAACAAAGGGCUGAUUUAUUGUUUUAUGUAAGCAAACCAAAAUAAAUGACCAGAAAAAUAAUCUAUCAUCCGUAAAAUCUCAUAUAGGGGUGAGAGAUUAUGUUGAGUUAGAGUUUACAAGACUUAAGUAUAUGGUUGAAAAAUUCAAGUCAUAAAUCUAGCUUGUAGUUUGUCAUGUGCUUAUUUUUAACAAACUUACAUUCUCAAAAGCUUGAUUUGAAUAGUUAGGCAAAAUAAAUUUUAUAUAAAGGUAUUUAAAUAAUUAAUGACAAUAAAUACCUCAUAUAUCUUGUCAAAAACAAAAAAAAACCUCAUAUAUACAUGCUACACAACUAUUCUCUAUCCAGUGCCCCAGUGCGGGCACUGGUUAAGAAGCAAUAAAUAGAUGAAUCUCAAUUGAUUUACCUCAAUUAAUUUGAGAAAUAAGUCAACAAUUUAAUGUAAGAAAUAAGUGUAUUGAAUACUCUUUAAAAGAUAGCCAUAAAAGACCCGCAAUGAUACACGUGCCUGAUAACUCAGCAAUUUAUCUUCCUUCGCCCUCCGCUCUUAAAAUAAUUUUUUAACUUUCUUUUAUAUUUUUAAUUAAGGUAAAUUAAGUGAGAAUAAUUUAUUUAUUGUUUCUUAACCAGUGCCCCGGAACACCGGUUAGCAGCACCCUUAUAUGUUUCUAAUUCCAUCGCUCAAUAAUCAAAUUAGAGAUGAAGCUAGAAGGGGCCAGCAGAUGUCACGGUUUUCCCCAAAAAAAAAUUUUUUUUGCUAGUAUGUUAUUGUUGGUUAAAAGACUUUUAUAAAAGCCUUUUAAAGUUCCUAAAGUUUGUAAAAUAUUAACAUUAAGAGUAAAAUAUAAAUACGAAGAUUAAAAAAAUGCAAUAGCAUGCUAGUAUAAAAAAAUGUAUAACCAAACAUGGAUAAUAAUUUAUUAGAAGAAAAUGUUAUUUUUCUAUUUGUUUGACAAUAUUAACCUUGAAUUUAUCUUAUAAUUUUUUAACUUUUAUAUAAGUUGUUUAUUUGAAAAUUUAAUUCCUAGCUCUGCCCCUAAGUUACGAUAUUAAUGUUAAGAGUAUAUUUGGAUGAAAUAAUUUUUAAGAUAAUGUAAUUUUUUAGAAUAAUUCAAAUUAUUUUGUUUGGAGAAUUUUCAAGAUAAAGGAAUUUUAUGAAAUAUUUUGGUAAAGUAAAAUAUAGGGAAUUUCAAAUACUAUGUAAAAAUUAAGAAUUUAAAAUUCCUUGGUUACUUUAACAUAUAUGAAUCUCAAAUUGGUCUUUAUAAUAUACUUUCAAAUUUUGCAGAUUUAUCUAUAGUUUUCAAAUUGGUUUGUAUUUUCAUUUAUUUUUACUCUUCAUAUAUUUUUAAUUUAGUUCCUCAACCUUCGAAAUUUCAUAAAAAUUGUCCAAUAAAGCUUAACAAAGAAGAAUUUUUUACUUUAUUCAAACAAAAUAUUUAGAAAUGAAUGAAUUCAAAAGAAACAUUUGAAUUGCUCAAAAUUUUAAUUUUCCUAAAUUUUUUAGUUAUCACAUGUGCAUUCAUUUGUGUGCCUCCUACUUCAGGGUGAAAUAUGAGAAUUUAGUAGGUUAUAUGUGAUUUUGAAUAAAAGUAAAUUAAGGACAAUUUUAUUUUAUUUUUCUCAUAUUCCAUCUCUCGGAUCACUACUAGAAAAAGCAAAAUUAGAGAGGGAAAUUAGUGACGGAAAAAAUGAAAUUCCUCACAAAUUUCAUGGUCGCAAAAUUUAGUGACGGAAUUAGAGAGGAAUUUCAUGUUUUCCCUCACAAAAUUUCUCUCACUAAUUUUUGUUUUUUUAGUAAUGGAUAUAAUCUUAUUUUUGGAACUAUAUGACACUAAAUGUAGAUAUCAUUUCCACUUGAAAUUCCAAUUUUAUUUCGCAAUGUUGUUGGAAUCUAGUUUCUUCUUUAGACUUAACCUCCCGUUGGUACUAAUUAUUAUAAUAACCAUUUUGAAAAAUGAAUUUGCUCCUAAACAUAGAUCGCAUCUAAUAUAUAUGUACCUCUAUAAAAUGGUCUGGUCUAUAUGCGAACCCUUAAUGCUGUUUUUGACAUAUUUUAUUAUAAUAUUGGACAUUUUAUUAUUUUUUUAUCAUCAUUAUUAUUAUUAGUAUUCUUAUUAUUAUUAUAGAAAUCAACUUUUUACUAAAAGUGAUAAUUUUUUGGAUAUUUUCGGAUGUUAAGCUUUAUUAUGUAUUUUUCUAAUCGUUGAUGAUGUAGAUGGGAAUUUGGGAAAGUGAUGUUCCAGUACCAUGAGGUGUAACUCUAUCCUUCUAGUAAAACAUAGUUGGUAAAGAUCCACUCUUUUGGUACGAUAAUAAUUCUUGAUUUUUUUAAUUUUAAAUUUUACUCACUUUACAAUAUCUAAUUCCAUGUUGGUAAAAAAUAAAUAGUUAAUCGAAAUAAAAAUUUCUGGAUUAAUUCUUUCUUUCCCAAGAGUACAAGAACACUUCACUAAUUGUGGAUGAUUGUGAAGAAUCAAAAUCAUAUAUGAUCAACGGCUUUAAUUUAAUAUUUUCUUCUUGCUUGGAUUCUUAUUCUUCCUUAUUUCGAUAUAAUAAUUAAGUACAAAUGUACAAUAACAUAUUUUGCCAGCUACCACUAUGAAAGCAUGGAAAUUAUUUAAUUUCAGCCGGCCUAUUAAUAAAUUCUGGAGCCUAUAUUUUACUAUUUCAAACCCUAUUCAUUCAAAUAAAGCUUUACUUUCAAAAUGAAUUAUUUCUCCCAUAAUAACUAGUAGUACUUCCUAACUUUUGAUUCAACCCUAGUUAGCAUACCAAUUAAUUCAACUAUUCCAAAAGUAUCCCAACACUUUCACAAUUUUUUUUGUGUGUGUGAAAACAAAGGCUUACAAUUGUAUGCCCCGUGUUGUGCUAGGAUGAUAAAAGAUUGUAGAGACAUUUGAUACUAUAAGAUAAUGGUUAGAACUUGCAAUAUUACGGUCUUUGCACUUAGUGCGUGUGCGAGAGUCUCGUGCUAGACUCUUUGAAACAAAAGGAUGAAACAUAUAGCUUUUUCUAUGACUUAGAUUAAAAGUUUCAACUCUAUAAGCUACAAAACAUUUAAAGGAGUGAGUACUCACCUUGACUUCAUAGUGUUCCUUUUAGUUGCUGGACCCUGGCAUAGGAAUCUCUACCAAACAGCCACGCAAGUAAUAAGCAACUUUGUUGGUUACUUCCAAGCCCUAUUCUUUGAAGUUUUAUUGGUGCUGUGAAUUAUGAUUCAUGGCUUUCCACAACUACAUAUACUGUUAAUGUAUAAUAAAGCUCAAA